UCCGUAGGUGAACCUGCGGAAGGAUCAUUAUCGUGGGGCUUCGGCCCCGUCGAGAUAGAACCCUUGCCUUUUUGAGUACCAUUUUCGUUUCCUCGGCGGGCUCGCCCGCCGAUGGGGACACAACCAAACGCUUUGUAGUACCUGUAAUAGUCUGAGAAACAAACAAAAAAUUAAAACUUUCAACAACGGAUCUCUUGGUUCUGGCAUCGAUGAAGAACGCAGCGAAAUGCGAUAAGUAGUGUGAAUUGCAGAAUUCAGUGAAUCAUCGAAUCUUUGAACGCACAUUGCGCCCCAUGGUAUUCCGUGGGGCAUGCCUGUUCGAGCGUCAUUUGUACCCUCAAGCUUUGCUUGGUGUUGGGCGUCUUGUCUCCAGUCCGCUGGAGACUCGCCUUAAAGUCAUUGGCAGCCGGCCUACUGGUUUCGGAGCGCAGCACAAGUCGCGCUCUUUUCCAGCCAAGGUCAGCGUCCAACAAGCCUUUUUUCAACUUUUGACCUCGGAUCAGGUAGGGAUACCCGCUGAACUUAA
rnacentral:rRNA from 1 species